rnacentral:piRNA from 1 species
CAGAACAGCUGAUAUCAUUUGGAGCA